rnacentral:tRNA from 1 species
AAGAAUGAAGCAAUUAUGCACUCAGUUUCGACCUGAACGAAUGGUUCACCCAUUCUUA